CCUACGGGAGGCAGCAGUAAGGAAUAUUGGUCAAUGGUGGCAACACUGAACCAGCCAUGCCGCGUGCAGGAUGAAGGUUCUAUGAAUUGUAAACUGCUUUUAUACGGGAAAAAACUUUCGAACGUGUUCGGAACUGAUGGUACCGUAAGAAUAAGGAUCGGCUAACUUCGUGCCAGCAGCCGCGGUAAGACGAAGGAUCCAAGCGUUAUCCGGAUUUAUUGGGUUUAAAGGGUGCGUAGGUGGACUUGUAAGUCAGUGGUGAAAGCCCGAUGCUUAACAUCGGAACUGCCAUUGAUACUGCAAGUCUUGAAUAUGUUUGAAGUGGGCGGAAUGUGUCGUGUAGCGGUGAAAUGCUUAGAUAUGACACAGAACACCGAUUGCGAAGGCAGCUCACUAAACCAUUAUUGACACUGAGGCACGAAAGCGUGGGGAGCAAACAGGAUUAGGAUACCCUGGUAGUCCACGCCCUAAACGUUGAAUACUCGAUAUGUGCGAUACACUGUACGUGUCCAAGAGAAAUCGUUAAGUAUUCCACCUGGGGAGUACGCUCGCAAGNGAGAAGUAAGUAGAGUAGAGNGNGAGAGNGCGACGACGACGACGAGGGAGGAGG
rnacentral:rRNA from 1 species